rnacentral:misc_RNA from 1 species
UAAUAAGUGUUUUAUGGCACUUUUUAAAUCCAUAUCCACCUUGUGUGCAAUGUCAGUCGAUCUUCUUUUAUGGAGGAUCGACCAAACAUCAACCUUAUUUUUUAACUCUUUGUCUGAAAAAUAUUAUGAAUAAACAAUUCAAAAUA